CGGUUGAUCCUGCCGGAGGUCACUGCUAUUGGGAUUCGACUAAGCCAUGCGAGUCGAGAGGGUUCGGCCCUCGGCUGACGGCUCAGUAACACGUGGAUAAUCUGCCCUUAGGUGGAGGAUAAUCUCGGGAAACUGAGGAUAAUACUCCAUAGAUCUAGGAUGCUGGAAUGCAUCUAGAUUGAAAGCUCCGGCGCCUAAGGAUGAGUCUGCGGACUAUCAGGUUGUAGUCAGGGUAAAGACCUGACUAGCCUACGACGGAUACGGGUUGUGAGAGCAAUAACCCGGAGACGAUAUCUGAGACACGAUAUCGGGCCCUACGGGGCGCAGCAGGCGCGAAAACUUCACACUGUGCGAAAGCGCGAUGAGGGAAUCCCAAGUGUUUGCUCGUAAGAGUAAACUGUUUCUUUGUUUAAAACGCAGAGAGAGUAAGGGCUGGGUAAGACGGGUGCCAGCCGCCGCGGUAAUACCUGCAGCUCGAGUGGUGAUCAUUAUUAUUGGGCCUAAAACGUCCGUAGCCGGUUUAGUAAAUGCCUGGGUAAAUCGUGUAGCUUAACUAUACGACUUCCGGGUAGACUGCUAAACUUGAGACCGGGAGAGGCUAGAGGUACUCCUGGGGUAGAGGUGAAAUUCUGUAAUCCUAGGGGGACCACCAGUGGCGAANGCGUCUAGCUAGAACGGGUCUGACGGUGAGGGACGAAGCCCUGGGGCACAAACCGGAUUAGAUACCCGGGUAGUCCAGGGUGUAAACGCUGCUUGCUUGAUGUUAGUUGGGCUCCGAGCCCAACUAGUGUCGGAGAGAAGUUGUUAAGCAAGCUGCCUGGGAAGUACGGUCGCAAGACUGAAACUUAAAGGAAUUGGCGGGGGAGCAC
rnacentral:rRNA from 1 species